rnacentral:rRNA from 1 species
AUUGAACGCUGGCGGCAGGCCUAACACAUGCAAGUCGAGCGGAUGAAGGGAGCUUGCUCCUGGAUUCAGCGGCGGACGGGUGAGUAAUGCCUAGGAAUCUGCCUGGUAGUGGGGGAUAACGUCCGGAAACGGGCGCUAAUACCGCAUACGUCCUGAGGGAGAAAGUGGGGGAUCUUCGGACCUCACGCUAUCAGAUGAGCCUAGGUCGGAUUAGCUAGUUGGUGGGGUAAAGGCCUACCAGGGCGACGAUCCGUAACUGGUCUGAGAGGAUGAUCAGUCACACUGGAACUGAGACGCGGUCCAGACUCCUACGGGAGGCAGCAGUGGGGAAUAUUGGACAAUGGGCGAAAGCCUGAUCCAGCCAUGCCGCGUGUGUGAAGAAGGUCUUCGGAUUGUAAAGCACUUUAAGUUGGGAGGAAGGGCAGUAAGUUAAUACCUUGCUGUUUUGACGUUACCAACAGAAUAAGCACCGGCUAACUUCGUG